rnacentral:rRNA from 1 species
GUUUCCGUAGGUGAACCUGCGGAAGGAUCAUUAGUGAUUGCCAUCUUGGCUUAACUAUAUCCAUCUACACCUGUGAACCGUUUGAUUGAAUCUCUGAUUCAAUUUUACAAACAUUGUGUAAUGAACGUCAUUAGAUCAUAACUAAAAAAACUUUUAACAACGGAUCUCUUGGCUCUCGCAUCGAUGAAGAACGCAGCGAAAUGCGAUAAGUAAUGUGAAUUGCAGAAUUCAGUGAAUCAUCGAAUCUUUGAACGCAACUUGCGCUCUCUGGUAUUCCGGAGAGCAUGCCUGUUUGAGUGUCAUGAAAUCUCAACCAUUAGGGUUUCUUAAUGGCUUGGAUUUGGAGGUUGCCAUUCUGAAUGGCUCCUCUUAAAAGAGUUAGCGAGUUUAACUAUUGCUAUCUGGCGUAAUAAGUUUCGCUGGAAUGGUAUUGUGAAGCGCGCUUCUAAUCGUCUUCGGACAAUUACUUUGACUCUGGCCUCAAAUCAGGUAGGACUACCCGCUGAACUUAAGCAUAUCAAUAAGCGGAGGAAAAGAAACUAACAAGGAUUCCCUUAGUAACGGCGAGUGAACCGGGAAAAGCUCAAAUUUGAAAUCUGGCUGUCUUCGAUAGUCCGAGUUGUAAUCUAUAGAAGCGUUUUCCGUGCUGAACUGUGUCUAAGUCCCUUGGAACAGGGUAUCAAAGAGGGUGACAAUCCCGUACUUGACACAAUCAUCAGUGCUCUGUGAUACGUUCUCUACGAGUCGAGUUGUUUGGGAAUGCAGCUCAAAAUG